GAUGAACGCUGGCGGCGUGCCUGAUACAUGCAAGUCGAGCGAACAGACGAGGAGCUUGCUCCUUUGACGUUAGCGGCGGACGGGUGAGUAACACGUGGGUAACCUACCUAUAAGACUGGGAUAACUUCGGGAAACCGGAGCUAAUACCGGAUAAUAUUUCGAACCGCAUGGUUCGAUAGUGAAAGAUGGCUUUGCUAUCACUUAUAGAUGGACCUGCGCCGUAUUAGCUAGUUGGUAAGGUAACGGCUUACCAAGGCAACGAUACGUAGCCGACCUGAGAGGGUGAUCGGCCACACUGGAACUGAUACACGGUCCAGACUCCUACGGGAGGCAGCAGUAGGGAAUCUUCCGCAAUGGGCGAAAGCCUGACGGAGCAACGCCGCGUGAGUGAUGAAGGUCUUCGGAUCGUAAAACUCUGUUAUUAGGGAAGAACAAACGUGUAAGUAACUGUGCACGUCUUGACGGUACCUAAUCAGAAAGCCACGGCUAACUACGUG
rnacentral:rRNA from 1 species